rnacentral:rRNA from 1 species
AUUGAACGCUGGCGGCAGGCCUAACACAUGCAAGUCGAGCGGAUGAAGGGAGCUUGCUCCUGGAUUCAGCGGCGGACGGGUGAGUAAUGCCUAGGAAUCUGCCUGGUAGUGGGGGAUAACGUCCGGAAACGGGCGCUAAAACCGCAUACGUCCUGAGGGAGAAAGUGGGGGAUCUUCGGACCUCACGCUCUCAGAUGAGCCUAGGUCGGAUUAGCUAGUUGGUGGGGUAAAGGCCUACCAAGGCGACGAUCCGUAACUGGUCUGAGAGGAUGAGCAGUCACACUGGAACUGAGACACGGUCCAGACUCCUACGGGAGGCAGCAGUGGGGAAUAUUGGACAAUGGGCGAAAGCCUGAUCCAGCCAUGCCGCGUGUGUGAAGAAGGUCUUCGGAUUGUAAAGCACUUUAAGUUGGGAGGAAGGGCAGUAAGUUAAUACCUUGCUGUUUUGACGUUACCAACAGAAUAAGCACCGGCUAACUUCGUG